ensembl:lncRNA
AGGAGGAGAGCAUGAUGCAUCAUCUUCAGAUGAAGAAGUAAUCCCCCAAGAUGAAGGAGAGACAUUUUUGCCAAAGAACAGGAAAGUAACGUGAUCCUUUUCACCAUAUGACAACCAGGGCAGGAUGGCAGCACAUGUCAUAAGGAUGACCCCAGGGGCCAAAAGACAUGCAGGACAUCUCAACAUUCUACAUGUUCAUCACACCAGCCAUCAAAAAAAAUCAUCCAGGAAAUUACAAAUUUGAAGGGUUUCUGUAAAUAUGGAGACAACUGGAAAAGGAUGGAUGAGGUCAACCUGCAUAAAUACAUAGGGCUGCUAAUCUUAGCGGGUGUGUAUAGGUCCCAAGGUGAGGCUCCAUCUAGUCUCUCUGAUUCUGAGAGUGGAAGGGCAAUUUUUUGUGCCACGAUGCCACUGAAAGCCUUUCAAAUUUUCAUCAGAAAUCUGUGAUAACUGUGAGUCAAGACCUGUAACACAUGUGAGAGACAAACUGGCAGCCAUAAGAGAAGUCUGUGAGAAGUGGGUGGAGAGUUUGCCAUACCUCUACAACCCUGGGCCUGAAGUAACAGUGGAUGAGCAACUGGUUCCAUUCAGAGCUGAGAGCUCCAAACAGACGAUGGAAUCAUGCAAUCAGAGGAUGAACCAGAAACAUACAAUGUGGAACUCAAUGCCAGUGAGACAAGUUGGAUAUGGGUAAUAACUUAUUUUCUUCUGCAUGUCUGAUUAGCAAAUAUGUAUAGAACAGCUAUACACAAUGUAAUUAUCUACUAAAAACCUAUCAACCUACCUUAUAUUGUAAUGUACUGUCAGCAUCUACAAAGUCGUGAUCUUCCUCGAAAACAUAAGUAGGGUUGGCUGCACUAAAUAUUUAGAGAUUCAGAACAAAAUAUCAACUAUUAUUCUUUAUUUUUGUAUUUACUCUAGAAUACAAAUUCCAGAUCACGUUUCCAAGUAUUAAAUAUAUACAAUUGCAAAUAUGCAAAUAACAGCAAAUGGUAAAUAAAAGCAAAUAUGUACUGCUUUCUGAAUGUGAUGUGAUUCAACAGUAAAGGAAAACACAUCUAGACUCCUUAGGUUUCUACAGGAUUUUCUUAGUAUACUUGUUGACAUCAGGAUAAAUUGAACUUAGGUUUAUGUAUAAUGUUGUGCUUAUAGAUGCAGCACAGCAGGAGAUUGUGCAGUACAACUGUGCAGCUUAUUUAGCCAGAGAAGAGCGCAUGACUUAAGCGAUCAUAAGGUUGUGUUGCAUGAGACACAGUAAUCUUGGCUGGGACACCACCGAGUGCCCUGAUACUAACCAGAAAUAAGAUCUAAAAAUAUGCUCAGUGUGUGAUAUGUGUUACAGCAAGACAAGUGUGUAAAAUUUGCUCCAAGAGGCUCUGCUAGUAUCUGACCCACAAAUACUUAGCCCACAAAUCCAGUGGCUGGUUAUUCAAAUUAUGCAAGUAUCAUGUAACAGAUGUUCAUUAGGUUUCUGUUAUUAUAAGCCAUAUUGAUAUUGCUAUCUGGAUUAAAUAUUCCUUUAAUUUGUCUGAAAUUUGACACCAUAAAUAUUAGGGCAAAGCAUAUUCAAUAUCCUGCAUGAUUAUAACGUCCUAUAAAUGUCAUGCUGUCAUGCCAAAUAUUGAUUUUUUUUU